CAUCAAUAAGCGGAGGAAAAGAAACCAACAGGGAUUGCCUCAGUAACGGCGAGUGAAGCGGCAACAGCUCAAAUUUGAAAUCCGGCUCCCUCCGGGGCCCGAGUUGUAAUUUGCAGAGGAUGCUUCGGCGUCGGCCCCGGGCCAAGUCCCUUGGAACAGGGCGUCCUGGAGGGUGAGAGCCCCGUACGCCCGGGCCGCCUUCGCCGUGUGAAGCUCCUUCGACGAGUCGAGUUGUUUGGGAAUGCAGCUCUAAGGGGGAGGUAAAUUUCUUCUAAAGCUAAAUACCGGCCAGAGACCGAUAGCGCACAAGUAGAGUGAUCGAAAGAUGAAAAGCACUUUGGAAAGAGAGUUAAAAAGCACGUGAAAUUGUUGAAAGGGAAGCUCUUGCCGCCAGACUUGCCGCGGAUGCUCAGCCGCCCCUUUGGGCGGUGCACUCUUCCGCCGGCAGGCCAGCGUCAGCUCGGGCGGCCGGACAAAGGCCCCGGGAAUGUAGCCCCCCUCGGGGGGCGUUAUAGCCCGGGGUGCAAUGCGGCCAGCCCGGGUUGAGGCACGCGUUCGCUAGGACGCUGGCGUAAUGGCCGCAAGCGACCCGUCUUGAAACACGGACCAAGGAGUCUAACAUCUGUGCGAGUGUUUGGGUGUCAAACCCAUGCGCGUAAUGAAAGUGAACGGAGGUGGGAACCCCCAAGGGUGCACCAUCGACCGAUCCUGAUGUCCUCGGAUGGAUUUGAGUAAGAGCAUAGCUGUUGGGACCCGAAAGAUGGUGAACUAUGCCUGAAUAGGGUGAAGCCAGAGGAAACUCUGGUGGAGGCUCGCAGCGGUUCUGACGUGCAAAUCGAUCGUCAAAUUUGGGUAUAGGGGCGAAAGACUAAUCGAACCAU
rnacentral:rRNA from 1 species